CAAGCAUUUAAGGCAGAUGUGAAGACAGCCUUAGAAUGUUUGAUUUGCAAGAAGGCAGAAUCUAUUGUCAUGGUAGAUGAUUUAAUGCAAAAACUUAAUGAAAGGUUUCCAGGAGUAAGUGGUUUUGAACGACCAAAUGUAUUAAAGGAGCUAUCCAAAAUAUAUGGAAAGAAGGUGGAAUAUAUGGGGAAGAAAAAGAGG